rnacentral:pre_miRNA from 1 species
UCUUCACUUUCAAAAGUGACAAAGUCUUUCCACAUGUAUGUAUGUGUGUCUAUUACACAUAUGGAAAGACUUUGCCACUCUUUAAAGUGAGGA